GAUUAGUGGGAAGCCCAGCAAUAAGCUGAUGCCUAGGGAAUAACGUCCCAAGUGGGGACACAGACGUGAAGUGCCGCGAAGGCACCGAGGCCACCGUCUCCACCUGGGAAGGGCCCGGAAGCAGACAAUCCAGCAGGGAGCAAGCUAGCCUGGGUACACGGCAAGCACAGCCUGUCUUCAAGGGUGCCAUGUCAAGGGAAUGAGAAAUAUUAAUAGUUCAGAGUGGCCAGAGGAACGGUUCUUUCAGGACCCCAAGUGGCAGGUUCAUUCAUUCAUUCAUUCUAGUUAUUCGUGGAGAACCCAUGCUUUACUAAACGUGAGGCCGACAUUUAUGGAGGCCUGGCUAGAAAAGCAGGAGCGACCGGGAGGGCCUCGGGUGCCGACCGCAGCACAGGCCUUAUCCGGAAACCCAUGGAGAGCCAGGAAGGCUCCAACCAGGACUUGGACCUGAUCAGACGUGUGUGUUGGCCAUCGUGUGCAAGACAUGCUGGGGACCCCAGCCUGGGGGCACCAGGGCUGGGCAGGAGUCCUUAAUUCCCCUCAGCACUGUUUGAGGUGAGCAACUACAACUACACAAGACAAAGACGAAAGACUUUUUCAAGCUCAAAAAUCCUGUGAUUCUUUGAUUCUAAGAAGAGAUUUUCUGACAAGGAGUUUGCCUAAGGUACUCACUGUGCUAUGAUGGUUUGAAUGCAGGCUUGGCCUCCUCUCCAGCCUGUGACUACUAGGAAGACAGUGCACCUGUCCUAUACACCUUUGUAUCUCUGGUGUCUCACUCAGGAUUGGGCACAGUGCUUGCCAAGGACCUGCUAUGUGCCAGGGGCUGCUGGAGCUGGGAACCUAAUGAUCGCAGUGUCAGCCUCUGCCAGCCUUUGUGUGUGUGGCAGGGGUGGUUUUGAGUCCCACCAUCUUCCAUCCCUGAUGCUUGGAGAACCUGAGGACACACAGGGAACACCAGCCCCAUCUUUUCACCAUAGAGUUUCCAGAACCGACCUUUGAAGUAUAAAGAAAAAGAUCAGAUGUUGGGCCAUAGUAGAGGGCUUCCACCAAAGGAGGAGCUUGGGGGUGAAGCAGGCCAACAGGCAAGCUCCAGGCAGGGGCUGCCAGCAAGCAGGCUUGUCUCGAUGGGGACAACAGUGCCGUAAAGCUGACAGAGUUUGGCUUCAUUUGAAGGUGUGAAAAGAACAGCCUGACUCUGAGAGGCAAGUCCACCGAGCCCAGGACCCCAGGGGAACUGGUUCUCACCAUGCAUGCAAUGCCGCAGCCACUUCCCAAGUCAGGAGGGCAGCUGAAGUCCUGCACUGGGGACAGUUGGAUCAGGUGUGUCUGUCAGACAUCCCCUGAUGACACAGAAUGCCUCUCUCCUCUGAGAGCAGGACACUGUGUUUAGACAGUCCCUGGUAAAUGUGAGCAGCCACGAGAAAGGCAGCCUUAAGUGGGUCAAAUUAAUCUCUUCUAUGGAUGCAGAGUUGAGCUCCAUCAUUCGCUGCCCACGAGAGAAAGAUUGCCAUGGCCUUAAGAAGUGGAAGCAGAACUGUUAAUAUUAUUUUUAAGUUGAUGCAAAAAAGGACUUCUAUCUCC